CUAUAUGCCCAUACCACCUUGAAUGCACCCAAUCUUUUCUGGUCUCGGAAGCUAAGCAGGGUCGGGCCUGGGUAGUACUUGGAUGGGAGCCAUUUAUUUCCUGUGUGAUGCUGGUGUCAAGUUUA
rfam:Mesocricetus auratus contig036743, whole genome shotgun sequence.